AUGUUCCAAAUCUAAUAUUUCCAUUUCCUUUCCAGAGAGACUGAAAGUAAAUGGUGUAGAAUCCACACAGGGCAAUGAGAAGAACAGGGACCAGAGCUGUCUGGCAUCAGGCUGCAUGCCCUUUGGAGAGUGGCGGGAUGCCUAGGAGAGUGCAGACUUCAGUGCUCAGCCCACAGAUCAGAAGUCCAAUCUCUCCAUGUACUUCCUCAUGGAUGAAGUUCCCACAGCCAAGACCAAAUUUACUCUUCUGACUUUGGGAGAAUUAGAAUGGUGCAAAGCAACAGAACGGAAAGAGAGCUGGCUCCUCUCUCCAGUCAUUUAUCUCCAGUCUUAAUGUCGUUUCCUCACUGGGGCAGUAGUCUAUGCAGAAGAAGGUUCUAGCAAUGAUCUACAGCUCCACAGGUUUUUCACGGCAGAUGUAUGCGGUGACCAGUUGUCUUCAUCAUCCUUCUCCGAACAUAAACUUCACCUUAAACUUCAUGCCUGUACUCCAUGGACUUCCAUCUGGUGAGAAAGGUACUGACGGAUUUUCCAGGACUGAGCCUGAGAAGCCCCCACCCCACCUGCCCACCCGUGAACAGAAAAGACAGGAGGAGACACUGGAACAGAGAGUAUUCAAAGCCCCACCAUCGCUAGCCAAUCUGCUUCAAUGACUCAGGAUUCUUGAUCAUAAGACUGAUCGAUUUGAGCAAACUGCCCCUUAAAUACACGACUUACCCAGCUCACCCCACUGGCUUCAGUACCCUCCCCUUCCUGGAGUUGUAUGCUGACCUUUGGAGACACCCUUGCUCCUCGAAGAAGUUUCACUCCGCAUUCCAGAAAUAACUCUUCAGAAUGUAUAGGCAUCGCUCAUAGUUUAUCACAGAUAACAUCUGCUUCUUACAUGCAAUAUGUCACCCACUUAAAAACUCAAAGCAACCACACUAUUGAUCUAAAUCUGAACACUUUGAAAACUACUUUUAUUAUUUAACUGAACUUGGAGUGUAUACACACUCAAACACUUAUCUCCUGUCUCUCACAUACACAAACAUAUGAUUUCAUAUACUCACACACAUAUGCACAUACAUUCUGACAUAUACUUUCUCAAGCACACACACACACACACACACACCCUCAUAAACACUCACACAUAUACACUUCAAUAGGUAUUCACACAGAUUCUUACACACAGAGACACAGAGUUCUCUGAGUCUAUUCUCUGUGUCUGUUUCUCUGUCUGUCUCUGUCUCUCUCAUGCGCGCACACGUGUGCACACACACACACACACACACACACACAUCUCACUGUCUCUGAUACUUUUAAAAAUAUUACUUAAGAACAAAACCACUAAGGUCCCUGGUGCUAAAGUCAUAUAUAACCACUAUGGACUCAGUUGUCAAUUAUUAGUGCCCUCCACACACAUUUCCAUCUAAAAUUAUUUUCUUGACAAAUAACAUCUUAUAUCUAGGGCAAGAUAUUAAAGGAAAAAGACAUUUGAGUUCUGCUUUGUGAGUUUACCCUCUACUAUGUAGCUCAUGAGUGGGAUACCCAUCUAGUGUGUUCGAGAUCCUAGAAGUAACUCCUUCCUGAAUUUUCAGUCCCUCAUUAUGAAUGUGCUGUGGUUCUCGCAGAUCAUAUUAUCUCAGGUUCUGGUUGAUCUGUAGAGGCCACCCCAGGACACUGUCUGAAGAGCCAGAGGCAGUAGGACUUCCCAAGGAUAACACCCCAUGACGAAAGAGUGCGACCACCAUCGAAAAACUGCUUUGGUUUUCUUUCACCUCUCCUUUCCUUUGUGGGAAGCCACAAACUCAAUGCACUCAAUGCAAGGCCAUGAAGAUGCAACGCCAUCUUACAACUGUGAGCAUUAGUGAUGCCCUGUGCUUUGCAUCGAGGACAGCAGGGUGGAAAGAUGAAUUAAAACAGAGACCCUGAUGGCCCCACUGAUCCAUCAGCCCUGACCUCUUAUCAACAAAUUAAGCCAUGUUAGUUGUCACAGCUAUAUACACUCCUCAGAGCUCAAAUCUUCAAGCUGGCCCAAGUGAAAAGGAAAGCCAUCAUAUGCUUGCAGGGAUCCUUCUAAUACCCAUGAAAAAGGCAAAGCCUGCUGUCUUAGUAGGUAAUAACACAGAUUGGUAAACACCAACAGCCAGGCAGCCAUCACCUCUCUCUUCAUCCCAGCUACAUAGUCUCCAGUGAACUCUGCAUGCUCACUCUGCAGAG